AGUGAGACUCCAUCUCAAAAAAAAAAAAAAAAAGAAUAUUAUACAUUUGUAUUAUAGUUCCACUCCAAAUACGAUAGCUAAAAGACAAAUCAACCUUCUCUUUACAGAACACAGGCUCCAAACAUAAAUUUUUGUCUUAUAUGUUUUAGGUUUAUGUAUAUAUAAAACCAUUCACCAAAGACAUGCUUAAUUUUUGAGAUUAAGGUGUAAAUUAUGAUGCCUUAUUUUGGUCUAGAGUGUAUGUAAGGUUAGUAUGUUAAGCAUUGUUCAAAAAUACUAGUAAGUCAAAAUUAUACAGCAUUUUCACAAAGUUCAAUGCACAGAAAAAGCCUAUGAUUUUGGUUACUGAUCUAUCUUAACGCUACUUUCUUUUAAAACAGACAGUUAACAUAAUACCCAAGUUACAGUAACAUUAUGGGCUUCUCCUCCCAUUGGCAAUUAAAUGCUUUUCUUCUGAAAAGAUGAUAUGGACCAACAGGUCCAUAUCAAAAAAAGAAUCAGACUUGCCAGCAACGUUGGUAGACUCUUCCCAGCAUACAUCUGAGUGCUGAAGGAAGAAGAAAGUUUAAAUUGUUUAAAGGACUAUAAUUAUCACACAAAAUUUAUUAAGAAAAAAGAAUAAUGGAUCUAGUAUAACUAAUUCUGAGUAAACCAAAAUGAUAAGAACUAAUUAAACACUUCUUAAUCCCACAUUUUUGGCAGGUGUAAUUGAGCCAUGGUCGUAUUUGAUUUUGUUAUGAUUGCAUCCAAAUUUGCUUAAACUCAGAGUUAUGUUUAAUGGUAGGAUGUAAGAACUGAAUUUUGAAAAACUACUCACUGUCAAAAUCUCUCCUUCCUAUAGGAAAUUUAGCUGAGUUUUCUUCAUCCCCAGUUUCUCUCUUUUCUAGUGUUGAUUCGGUAUCCUGAACCCCAUUCUCAGCUGGAAAAGCUACAGAUCCUUCUAGUGCAAGAUAAGGUUUUAUAACCAGAUUCAGUGACAGACCAUGAUUUAAGAAAUUAUGUUUUUUCUUUGUUUUUUGUGACAGCAUAAUCCCAUUGUUCUACUACCCUAGCAGUUCCUCCCUAGACAAUGAGGCCAAUACCCCUUCCUCUACUUCAUAUAGGCUUUCUUUUUUUACUCUAUACUGUAAUCCUGAAUGCUUUCAUGCAUCUCAUGGCUUUCAUUAUCAUUUCUACUUUGAUAAGUCCCAAAAUGAUAUCUUCUGUUUAUAUUCAACUUUAGAAUGCCAGACCUGUCAUCUCUAGCUGCCUAUCUCAGAGGCACCUUAAAUUCAACCUGUUCAAAGAUCAUCUUGUGCCUUAACCCAGAUUCACUGCUUCUCCAAUGUUCCCUGUUCCAGUUUAUAGCAACACCAUCCUCAGUUUCUCAUUCCAAAAGCCCAGGAGUAAUGUGUAGGGACAGUGAGAGAGAAUCAUGCCAUUCAAAUAGAAGUUUUAUUCUCAGCAUCCAGCACAUCAAUUCACCAUAGUAGAAGCUCAGUGAGUAUCUGUCCAAUUAAUGAAUAAAUGUUGAGCACUGUAAGCUACGCUUAUGGAUACCAUAGUUUAGUAAGGAAGCAGAGAGUUGGCAAAAAUAAAUUUGAGAAGUAUGAUAAUGGAUACAUUAAAAAGUGCCUUGUUGUCCACUGGGAGGAAAGGUUUUAAUUUAAUCUGAGUUGAUAAAGAAGGCCUACAUAAGGAAGCUUUGUGAUUUCAGGCUGAGGAUAACAGUGAACAGGAGUUGGCUCUGUGAAGGACCUGAAAUGUGAGGAGGACAGACUGAGAGAAGAUCACCUGCAAACUCUCUGAAGCAGAUGGUGUAGUCUGUGUAGCACUAGAAUGCAGAUGUCCACUUCACAUGAUGGUGUGAGUUUGCACAGGGCCAUUUCCUUGGUGACCUGUGUGUCCUAAAUCCAAGGGGACUCUCCCAGAACAUUCUGUUGUGAUAAAGAUUCUUGGGAUUUUCUGAUUCCUGAGAUGGGAAGAACUUAGUUCAUGUAAUGGCAAGUUGGGGGCUCAGGAUAUGAUUCAAUUUUAAUAAAAACAAUAACAGCAAUAAA